AGAGAACACAAGCAUUCUGGGAGUCUGUGGUGAGGGGCAGACCAGUCAGGGAUAUAAACAUCAAGGCAUGGGCAGAGGAAACCCAAAUAAGGUGUUUGAUCUGAAUCUGACUUCUGAGUCCAGAGACCACAGGGACUUUCGCCAAACAAUUUCACUAAACAAGUCCGUGAACUCAAAGGAAUGACGUGGUUUGACAGAACUUCAACACACAGCAACAGAAAAACGUGUCUCAAUCCUUCACCCUUGGGAACAGGAAAAUCAGUUGCUUGGUAGAGGCCAUCUUUAACAAAAGGUCAAAGGAAAUUGUUUUGGAGAUUUUGGGAGACUUUAGCCGCUUAAGACAGGGAACCUCUUACAGAGCUUCGUGAAAAAAGUUGGGAUGCAAUAUUUCCAAAAACUCUACCCGGCAGGUUAAUGAGUAAGAUAAAAAUGAAAAAAGGCACAUGUCGGAUUUCAUUCAUUCACCAAUCACAAGCAACUAUUUUGCUGAAGUGGAUAAUUGUUUUCAAAGACUAGAAGAAUAUUCCUCAGUUUUUUGGGGCUAUUCACCAUGUAGCAGAUUUUCAAGGGAUAGACUGAAGAUCACAAAAAUCAGUCAGUUCCCCCUAAGACCUCUUCAAUCAAGGACCUUCUAGGAGCAAUAGAAAUAAUACUAUUUUUACUUUUAUAAAAUUUAUAUUUGUAAACAUGACACUAUUCAUUCCCAUUAGCUUCCCUUGGCACGUUUAUCAAAAUCCA